UAGCCUGUGGCCUAGUGUAUAAGCUGCCUUACUGGGACUCAGGAGGUUGCUGGUUCUAACCCAAGCGUGGCCAC